rnacentral:rRNA from 1 species
GACGAACGCUGGCGGCGUGCUUAACACAUGCAAGUCGAGCGGAAAGGCUCCUUCGGGGGUACUCGAGCGGCGAACGGGUGAGUAACACGUGAGUAAUCUGCCCUUGGCUUCGGGAUAACUACCGGAAACGGUGGCUAAUACCGGAUAUGACCACUCCUUGCAUGAGGUGGUGGUGGAAAGUUUUUCGGCCAGGGAUGUGCUCGCGGCCUAUCAGCUUGUUGGUGGGGUAAUGGCCUACCAAGGCUUCGACGGGUAGCCGGCCUGAGAGGGUGACCGGCCACACUGGGACUGAGACACGGCCCAGACUCCUACGGGAGGCAGCAGUGGGGAAUAUUGGACAAUGGGCGGAAGCCUGAUCCAGCAACGCCGCGUGAGGGAUGACGGCCUCGGUUGUAACCU